AUAAGUGACCUUAACUCCAUAUUCACACAGAAUAGGGGUGAAGUAAAAUUUCCACAGAUUCUAAGUCUACAACAUCCUAAUUACAUAUAGCCUUAGUGUAUCUACUUAGCAACUAUCAACUUACUAAUGAAGAUCCCGUUUUAGUUCUCAAGUAUAACGUACUUAUAGUAACACCAAAUACUCCUAUAGUAUUUUAAUUUUAAUGUUAUGUUCUAUUGUUCUCAUUGUGGUAGGGUUGGUAAGAUUUUAGCAUUGUUGCAAGCACACAAUUACACUUAGGCACAUGCUAGUCAACCCUCGGAUAAUAUAGGUGAUCAGGCUAUAUCUUCCCAGUUUUGACCAUAUGUCUCUAAGCCCACUUGUGUUGCCCAACAAUCGUAAUUCUUUUGUAAUGUCCUAGUGACACUGCUUUUAGUAUGAAUGCAGGCACAUAUACUUUAUUAAAUAUUUUAUUAUUUAAAGUAUAAACUCUUGGUCAGAUUAUUUUUAAUCCCUUAUGUAUUUAUAGUUAGUAUAUAUUAUAUGGGUUGAUAUACUUAAUUCACUAUAAACAAUGCUCUGAUACAAAUCUGUCACACCCCAAAACCAAGAACGGCGGAAACAUUCUGGGGUGGAGGACGUCAUGUACAGUAUCACAACAAUGAAAAGUAGUAAACAAGCAACAACAUCAUCCAUUGCAUUAAUAAUAUAAUUAUUAUACAUGUGUUCUGUCAAAUUUUGAUAAACACUAAAGCAUAAAUCAAAAUGAAAGAUGAGUCUUGAACAAGCUCCAUCUUCCUUCUCCUUGCAUCAGUACCUGUCUAUGAUGACCUAAGGAUACAAGUAAUUUUGAAAGCGAGUAUCAACUUUGAGGCUGGUGAGAUCAAAAUAUUUAGUGUCUAAAUUUGAAUGUAAGUAUUUGUAUGUAAGAAUUUGUAUAUGAACUGUAAGUAUGAAGAUGUUUGUAAAACAACUGUAAACGUUUGAAAAACCCGAGAAAUUCCUAUGAUUCCUACUAUUAUAUAAAGACGUCUUCUACCAAGACUUAACUGUUCUCAAUGUAGUCUUCUACCAAGACUUAACUGUUCUCAAUGUUUGUUUCUUGUAAGAGUGUGUAACUAUUAUAAACAAAAUAUAGUUUUUACAUUUAUAGUUUAAGUGAAAAGAUCACUAAAUAUAUGUACAGGGAAAAUUAAUGUAGUACUAAAACAUAGCUCUAUAAGAACUACUAUUGUACUAAAUACCUUAAACCGGAUUUAUAUUAAGGCAUCAUGUGAUAAAUUGCACCAUACUAUAGACUGGUAACAACGACAACGUAUAGUCGAAAAUAAGGUAUGACGUUUGGCACCCGCAGACCUGCAGGUCCCGCUGUAGCUAGCAGCAAGGUGUAGGAUAGUCAAUCCAGUAUAGAUCUAUACGCAAACUCACGCUAUCCCUCCAAGAGACUCUGGCUACAACCCGGGUCAUGACAAUUAAGGCAUGGUCCCAUACAGUGGAUCACAAUUUUAUUAGCAUAUUAAUGUAAGUGUAAUAUAACGAACUGUUCUAGCUGUAAUGUACGUGCUCCCUAUCUAGCAAGUAUAGUAAUGUACUGUAAUGUUCUAGAAAGUAUAGACUCAUGAAUGAACUGACUCAUUGUAUGAGAUCGUGUUCUAGUAAUAGUUCUAGCAUCUUCCUAAACUACCCAUAUGGUAGCUUACUAGUAUUCUAACUGGUACGUAUGGACAUGGAUGUAUACCCUUGCUACCCAAGGGCAUGGGAUGAACUGGAAGGACCUUUUAUGACUAUAUAUGUACACAUGAUAUAUAACUAAUAUUUAAACGACUUUCGGACGAGUACCCGAUAUCCCACCAGACCACAUCUCAAGCGCGAAAAGGAAAUAGGGUGGAUAGCCUUCCUAAGUCUUUUAAACAUUUCUUAUAUAACUAUACAUAUAGAGGCAUGCAAUUUAUAAUAUAAAAGCAUAAAUAAGUUUUGUAAAACAUUUGAACAUAAAUAUUAUUUUAAGAAAAGAUCGACUUGAUGUCAAUCUAUAAAACAGUUUGAAGGCAUAAGUUUGAUAAAACAGUUUAAGUAUAAAGAAACAUUUGUUUGAAACACAAUUGUAAAUAAGUUUGAAAUGUAAUAUACAGAGUAAGAUGUACAGUGUAAUAAGGAGUUUAAAACAUAUAAAAUGUUUAUAAAAAUCAUUUGAAGGAAACUGUUUGGUAAAACGGCUAAUGAGUAGCCAAAUCAUUUGAAUGUUGUAUAUUAAUCACAUGUGAUUGAUGUAAUAACUAGCAUAAUUCUACUUAUUAAUCACAUGUGAUUGAUAUAAUAACUAGCAUGAUUCUACUUGUAUCCCCCCCAUAAAACAUUUAAAAAUAGUUUAAAACAUUAUUUAAGGGGUAUGAACUCACCUGCAGUAAGUGACUGGAAUUGAACGGACUGUUAUCGUAAGGAAGGAUCGGGCAAGUGCUUGGUGUCAAGUGAAGACUUAGACACACACAAUGAUCCUAAUUACAUAUGAAGAUAUAUGUAUAUAAAUAAUUAGUGAUUAAAACACUAAUUAUACAAGUAUAAACAUUUAUACGCGAGGAAAACACUUUUGGUCAAGUGCUAGGAGGCUCAUGGGUUGCAACAAAGGAGUGCAAUGCCCCUAAUGGGAGUUUAUGGUCUAAUGCCCAUAUGUCUUGGAGUUUACGGCCCAGGGGAGUAAACUCCUGGCCGUAAACUCUCAACAAAGCCCCUAAAUAAAGUCAAACAAUUAUACAACUCAUGUGGUGAAUUGUUUCAAGGCUAAAUCA
rnacentral:lncRNA from 1 species